AUUGAACGCUGGCGGCAUGCUUUACACAUGCAAGUCGAACGGUAACAGGCCGCAAGGUGCUGACGAGUGGCGAACGGGUGAGUAAUGCAUCGGAACGUGCCCAGUCGUGGGGGAUAACUACUCGAAAGAGUAGCUAAUACCGCAUACGAUCUAUGGAUGAAAGCGGGGGACCGUAAGGCCUCGCGCGAUUGGAGCGGCCGAUGUCAGAUUAGGUAGUUGGUGGGGUAAAGGCUCACCAAGCCAACGAUCUGUAGCUGGUCUGAGAGGACGACCAGCCACACCGGGACUGAGACACGGCCCAGACUCCUACGGGAGGCAGCAGUGGGGAAUUUUGGACAAUGGGCGCAAGCCUGAUCCAGCAAUGCCGCGUGCAGGAAGAAGGCCUUCGGGUUGUAAACUGCUUUUGUACGGAACGAAACGGCUCUGGUUAAUACCCGGGGCUAAUGACGGUACCGUAAGAAUAAGCACCGGCUAACUACGUG
rnacentral:rRNA from 1 species